GAAAAUUUAAGGCCAAAUGUGUAGAGUGAUAUAAAGUAUCUAUACUUUGCUAGGUUGUAUUUUCCUAGGCAAGCUGAAUAGGUUAUUCUGGAAAUAUUAGCAAAGAACACACCUGUCUUUAACACUGGAGCAGGGUUCCAUCAUCUCUAGCUUGGCAGCAAUAUGAGCUACACAACCUUCUACAACAUUGUUCAGGUAUACCAUUGGGGUAUUUCCGAUUAACUGCAUAAACAAAGUAAGAGGACCAAAAUAGACCAUAUCAAAACCCAAACAAAUUUGUGCAGAUCAAAAAGAGGUAAAGCAUCAUUCUACGCUCAAGUUUUGUGAAGGAAAAUUACUUCGGUGACAUCUUUCUUGAUUGCACAUUGGCCCUCCAUGGUAUCCUUUCAAACUGUAAGCUAAUAAGGAAUUGAUACAGUGAAAACAAACGUCAAAGAAAUGCAUAAUUCACAAGUUGCAGUUCUCAUGCACAGAAGAAUACUAUUAGGCUACAAUGACAUCAAGGUUAACUACUUUGUCAUUCAAUGCUCUCGCAAAAGAUUUUGAAGUGACUCAACUCCAGUGAACAUAACAAAUUUGUACUAAAUGUGGCUCAACAAACCCAUAUACAGUAUUUGCAAGGACAUAGAAAAGGACGCUCAAAGCAUAAUGCAUGUGCUCACAGAUGUGAACCAACAGAUUAUGAUACAGAUACUUCUAAUAGCAGAUUCAAAUACAUCAGUAUUGCAACACGACCAACAUAAACAAAGUUGCAAAUGAAAUCAAUACACAAGCAAUGAAAAUUAAUUUCCAAGACUAAUAUAGAAAAGACUUGGAUUUUAGAACAGAUAGUACCAUAUUAACAACCAAAACAGAUUGACCGUCUGAGUUAAACAGAUGAAGAUGUCCAAUUUCCAGUAACAACACGUUGAAUUUACACAAUAUUUCAGCACAAUCUUUUUCAAAAGCAAACUAACUAAAAAGUAAACUUUUCAAUACCAAUAGUAAGCAAUACAACCACUCCGCAUAGGAAGAGGCAAAGCUACGUUAGGGAAAUUCACCAAUAUCCACAGAAGCACCUUUGACUAAUAACUGAACAUCUUUUGCACCCAAAACUGAUUUUGCAGAAAUACAUACAAAAAGAGACCCAAAACUUAAAAAUCCUAUAAACCCCAAACCCACAAUUAGCCAACAAAAGCUGAGCACCAAUAGUAAUAGGCAGGUAUAAUCAAGAAAUAGUCCAAGGAUGUAAAAUAUGAUGGUAAAUGAAAACCCAGAUAACUGAAAAUAAAGCUAAGAAGUAAGAACCAGAAAACCAAAAGAGAGCAAACCUAACCUUAUCUCUGCAAACAAUGGAAGACAGCAGUUGAGUUGUUAAUACUAAAUACUGUGUUGUUUCUGAUAAAAAAAAAAACAACAAUGCUUAACAAAAGUUAAUUCAGGGACUUUUUGGCUCCUUGCACUUCUUUGGGGCCUACUGGAAGCCAUUUUUCAUUUCAAAUUCUUAAACAUUUGUUUCAGUCAAAGCUACCCAUUGUCUUGUUUUCAUAUGCACAUUUGUAUAUAAAACAAACAGGGCUGCUCACCUGCGGGACGGAAAGGGACGAACUCACGCUAACUGUUGGAUUGUUAAUGAAUCCCCACAUUUAAUUUACAGAAAUUCUCUCUGGUUCUCCAUUGAUUUUGAACUUGCAAAUAGUAAGAGAGAGUUGAGCAAUAGUCUUUGGUUGACUGAAAAGACAAGAUAAGGAUAACGAGUUUGAAUAUAGUGUGAUUCGUGUCUCAAUGCUUAUGUUUUUUCAUCCAUCAGAUCAUUUCAUUAACAAUCCAACGGUUGGCGUGAGUUCGUCCCUUGGUGAGCAGCCCUGAUAAAACAAAACUGCCAGAGGCACCGGGAAUGUUGAGGUAAAAGAGCAAGACAUAAAUAGUAGACGAUCAGAGGAUCAGUGAAAAGUAUAUCAUUUCAUACAUACAAAUAAAACAGUUUAGAAUGUGAUCUAUAUCAUGUCACUUGAAAUAAAGUAUGUAAUACAUGUGUAAUUUGGGUUAUUCGAUCGGGUCCCCAAAUGCAUAUCAUAAGCUUGUGAGAUACAAAAUCUAUAUCAAUGAAUGUACUUGUAAACUAUUUUCUGAAGACUUUGAUCGAGAAAUGUAGAUGGUAUUGUCUCUGAAUUUGUUUCAAAGACUUUUGCCCUUCAAAGAACUAGUCUAUGUAUUAUUAUUUCAAUGACAAAGGACACAAAAGCGCAAAGCAGUUCAUUACAUUGGCAACACUCUCAAAAAGUCAUGUUUUCUGCUUCAUGCCUAAUGGUAUCAAAGAGUGCAGAAGACAGAUACCGCUCUCCGAAACUGGGGAACACCACCUGCACAUAAAUAGUGGCAAGAAGGUUAACAAUGUUUCAGAUCAAUAAUAAAUUAAGAACGCAGUUAAUAACUAUCCUGCACUAAAAAAUAAGACUCACAACUAUUAGUUUUCCAGCAUUUUCCUGCCUCUUUGCCAACUUUAUUGCUGCUGCUGCUGCAGCACCAGAUGAGAUCCCCACCUGCAAACAUUUUUGAAAGAUAGACUCAAUUUCUCAAACCAUCAAAGUCUUUCACCCCAAUCGCCAUAUAUCAUAUAGAUGACAAUGAACAGUAACAAAUUGUAGUACUAAAUGACAAUGAUAAUUUUGACUGAUUGCAGUGCGUACCAAAAGACCUUCUUUCAGUGCAAGCAGCUUAGCAGUCUCGAUAGAUUCCUCACUGGAUACCUGCAGACAUGAGCAUAAGAAAUUCAUGCUUGUACUAUUAUAUAACAUGGACAUAAUAUUAUAUUUUGCCAUGUAAAUGGCUCCGCUUGAGACUCCAAAGGGAAAUGGUGUGGACCAUAUAUUCUCAAUGUUAUAGCAAAUGUAGGAAUCUAAGCUAACAACUUGCUGAAACCUUUAACCACCCAAGAAAACAAUCUUUUCCGGACUGAGAUAUUUAUAGGCAACUUCAUUUUGGUUGUAAUGACCAGAUACGUCCCUUUCUUUUUGUCUACACAAAUUCACAGGUCCAGUAAUAAAAUAGUCGUUUUAUGAGCUUUUGAAAUGCCUGUAAAGCUUACUUGAAUAACUUCAUCCAGCAGGUUAACAUCGAGCACUUGAGGUAUGAAACCAGCACCAAUUCCUUGGAUCAGAUGCUUACCUAUGAAUUUGCAGGCACAUUAAUGUAUCCAGUUAUGUAUUAGCCAUCAGUCAGCAGCUAUAGCUAGGCGGACAAAGUCUCAAUUACUGAAGAAUUGAAAUUUCAAGCUGUAGAAUACUAAUGCUUUGUAUAUCGCUUAUAUGAUCGACACCGUAAGGAAAGCACAGGUAUUGCUACUAACCAGGUGGACCACCAUUCAAGACUGCACUCUCAAUUGGUUCUACACCGUAAACCUAGACAUGACCAAAAGAAAUCAUAGCAUUAGCCUAUAACAAUGCAAUCUACAUACAUAUGAUGUAAGUACACAAAAUUCAACCUUGAUCUCUGGAUUUUGCUCUUUAAGAAACUUCCCUACACCAGUUACUGUGCCACCAGUUCCUAUCCCUGAAACCAGGAUAUCAACUUUCCCCGCUGAGUCUCUCCAUAUCUCCGGGCCGGUGGUUUCAUAAUGAAUCUACACUAAAGAUGGUAAAAUGAUUCUCAAAUCCUCUCGACCAUCUAAACAGGUCAUCAGUUACUGCAAAACUACCUUUGGAUUGGCUGGGUUUUCAAAUUGCUGAAGCAUAUGACCAUUAGGUGUGUCACGUAGCAACUCCCCAGCCUUAUCAAGAACUCCCUUAAAGCCUUUGGCAGGAUCUGUGAGGUACACCUCGGCCCCAAAAGCUAGGAGCACAAUUCUUCUUUCAAGAGUCAUUGAAGAUGGCAUGACUAACUUCAGCUUGUAGCCCUUGCUUGCUGCGAUGAAUGACAAUCCAAUGCCAGUGUUGCCACUUGUGGGCUCAAUAAGAACAGUCUUCAGAGACCAUUAAUUAUGCAUGCCAAGGACCAAGAGAGUAAGUAACUUUUAAACAUGAAACACUCCCAAAUUUAUGUGCAAUGGAUAUAAAAAAAAAAGUUGGUUUUUAACCUUCCCAGGAGUUAUUAGACCUUUAUCCUCAGCGUCCUUGAUCAUACUAUGUGCAAUCCUGCAGUUUAAAAUAUUUUAAGGCCAACUGUGUAUGUUAUACUCAAGUAUAUAUUAGACAUCUUUAUGACUUGCUAGCUUCAGUAGCUUAUCCUAAUUAAUUAAAAGGUAUUUUUUUCAAGGAAGCAAUAACUAGGAGUAUACCUGUCUUUCACGCUAGAGCAGGGUUCCAUCAUCUCAAGCUUGGCAGCAAUUUGAGCUACACAACCUUCCACAACAUGGUUCAGGUAUACCAUUGGGGUAUUUCCGAUUAACUGUGUAAACAAAGUAAGAUGAUGAGAACAGAGCAUCAUGUAGACCAAAAAAUAAAAGUAGAAGCUUGAAAAAAAG
rnacentral:lncRNA from 1 species